GUAGGUGAGUGGUUCUCAGAGUGUGAUCCCCAGAUCUGUAUCAUCAGCAUCACCUGGGAACUUGUUAGAAAUGCAAAUAACCUGACCUCGGGCUUAGCUGACUGAAUUGAAACUCUGGGAUUGGGUGUGGCAAGCUCAUGAUUCCCUCCAGGUGAUUCUGAUGUCUACUAAAGUUUGAGAAACAGUGUGUAGAUAAUAGGAAUUUGGGUUCUAUAGUCAGGCUUCCUUUUUGAGCAGGCAGCUUAAGCUCACUGCACCUGGUUUUCACAUCUGUAGAGUGGGAAUAACGAUAAUACUUAGAUUAUAAAGUUAGAGUAAUCCAUGUUGGCUAUUCUGUGCUGCUGGAGCUGGAUCAGGGAGUUGACCCUGAGAUUAUAGUGGGAGAAGCUGAGGUUCAAAUGCCAGGAGAGCAUGGAUGAAGACAGGUGGGGCUAACAGGAUGAAAUUCCAAGGGACCAAAGUCUGGAUAACUUCUUCCCCUGAGGCAGUAGAAGAAUCUGCUGAUGGAGAGACGGCAGAAUUGGAACCACAGGAGAGAACACAGUUGCCAUGAGAUGAGAAGCCCAAGCCACAUGGAAAGGCCACAUGUGGACUUUCUGGUCGAAAAGUAGCCUCAACUGCCAGCCAUGUGACAUUGAUGGUUCAGCCUAAUUGGGUUCCAGAUGACUGCAGCCCCAGCAGCGUCAUAAGAAUGGGAAGACCUGCGCAGCUUGGCCCAGAGUUGUGAGUGCCAUAAUCACAGCCAGUGAAGCAACUGACUAGAAACUUCCCCAAGUUCACAUUCUUUCCAGCUGUUCAGAGGAUCUCUGUCAGAUCUGCCUGGGAGAACAGUAAAGAGACUCAGUGGUAAAACACAACACAAAUAAUUGCUCAUCCUGUGUGAAAUGCCUUCCAUCAGCCUUGGGGAAACCUCCUUGUGGCAGGAAGAAGCCAGGUAGCAUGGAAUAAGAGGGGGUAUUUAUGACAAUCCACAGAGCAGAGCCCUCACCUUGUGGAGCAUGGUGGUCAACCUCAGUGGCCAGUGGAUGCCAGAUCUCUGUGAUGGGGACAUUGCCUUGAGUGGAUGGGUUCAUCAGGCACUGCAGAAACAAAUGUUAGGGGAUGCUUGGUGCUUCCUACAUGAAUCCUUCGCUUUGUGGUAAUUACGGUUGCUACCUGGAGAAAGAGUAUAGAACAUGAGUGUUGGAUUUUUUUCUCCAUGAUUUAAUUCCCUCAAUUUUAUUUGGCAAAUAUGAAGAGACAAUUUUGUUUAUGCCUAUAGUUGGGAGAAUACAGUGGAACUUUAAGUGUCUUUGGUGGCAAAAUCUUAUAAGGUCACAAAAUGACUAUGUUACUCCAUUCUUGAAAGUUGGUCUCCCAAAGAAACCCUAUUGCUGCAGAUUGAAUUGCGUGCCCCUCCAAAUUCAUGUGUUGGAGCACUAAACCCCAGUACCUCAGAAUCUGACUGAAUUUGGAAGUAGAAUCUUUAAAGAGAUAAUGGUGGUGGGCCCCAAUCCAAUAUGAUGGCUGUCCUUGUUAGAAGAGGGAGACACCAGAGAUAUGCACACAGUGGACAGGCCAUGUGAGGACAUGGUCAGAAAUGGCCAUCUGCAAGCCAAGGAGAGAGGCCUCUGCAAAACCAACCCUACUGACACCUUGAUCUUGGACUUCCAGGCUCUAGAACUAUGUUCCUUGAAGCCCCUGCCACACUGCAUGUGGGUGCACAUGCUUUGAUGUGCUCCUGCGGGCCGGGACAACGCCUUGGUGACUGCCACAUGGCAGAUGGUGACGGAAGGAUACAUCCUCAUUUCAGAGAUGUUACAGUGUGGAAAAAAAUAGACAUUUCAGAAUCAAGGAAAUACAAACAUAUUUUAUAGAUAUAUGCACACACACAGACAUUUUUUGAGUAGUGUGGUUUUUUUCUUUUUACUAAGAUGGUAUCAUAUUAUAUACACUU
rnacentral:lncRNA from 1 species